GAUGAACGCUGGCGGCGUGCUUAACACAUGCAAGUCGAACGAAGCGAUCUAACGGAAGUUUUCGGAUGGAAGCUAGAUUGACUGAGUGGCGGACGGGUGAGUAACGCGUGGGUAACCUGCCUCACACUGGGGGACAACAGUUAGAAAUGACUGCUAAUACCGCAUAAGCGCACAGGACCGCAUGGUUUAGUGUGAAAAACUCCGGUGGUGUGAGAUGGACCCGCGUUUGAUUAGCUAGUUGGUGGGGUAACGGCCUACCAAGGCGACGAUCAAUAGCCGACCUGGGAGGGUGACCGGCCACAUUGGGACUGAGACACGGCCCAAACUCCUACGGGAGGCAGCAGUGGGGAAUAUUGCACAAUGGGGGAAACCCUGAUGCAGCGACGCCGCGUGAGUGAGGAAGUAUUUCGGUAUGUAAAGCUCUAUCAGCAGGGAAGAAAAUGACGGUACCUGACUAAGAAGCCCCGGCUAACUACGUGCCAGCCGCCGCGGUAACAC
rnacentral:rRNA from 1 species